UACAGAGGGUGCAAGCGUUAAUCGGAAUUACUGGGCGUAAAGCGAGCGUAGUCGGUUAUUUAAGUCGGGUGUGAAAUCCCCGGGCUUAACCUGGGAAUGGCGAUGGAGACUGCAAGGCUGGAGUUUGGCAGAGGGGGGUAGAAUUCCACGUGUAGCAGUGAAAUGCGUAGAGAUGUGGAGGAACACCGAUGGCGAAGGCAGCCCCCUGGGUCAAGACUGACGCUCAUGCACGAAAGCGUGGGGAGCAAACAGG
rnacentral:rRNA from 1 species